GCGGGCGCUUAAAAUGCAAGUCGAGCGGCUGCAUUACCAGCUUGCUCUUAUGAAUUAGCGGCGGACCGACGAUUAACUCGUAGCUAACCUGCCCAUAAGACAGGGAUAACUCCAUCUAAACCGGGGCUAAUACCGGAUAACAUUUUGAACCGCAUGGUUCUUAAUUGAAAGGCGGCUUCGGUUGUCCUUUAUGGAUGGACCCGCGUCGCAUUAGCUAGGUGGUGAGGUAACGGCUCCCCUAGGCGACCAUGCGUAACCAACCUGCAAGGGUGAUCGGACACACUGGGACUGAUCCUCCGCCCAGACUCCUACGGGAGGCUUGAAUAGGGAAUCUUCCCCAAUGCACGAAAGUCUGAGGGAGCAACGCCGCGCGUCUGAUGAAGGCUUUCUUUUCGUAGAACUCUGUUGUUAGGGAAGAACACCUGCUUGUUGUAUAAUUUGGCACCUUGACGGCACCUAACCACUAAGCCCCGGCUAACUACGUGCCACCAACGGCGCUAAUACUAAUGUGGCUAGCUUUAUCCGAAAUUAUUGGGCGGUGAAGCGCGCGCAUGUGUGUUCUAACGUCUGAUGUGAAAGCCCGCGGUGUCUCCCGUGGAGGGUCAUCUGGAAUCUGGUAGACUUUGAGUGCAAAAUACGUGAGUGGCAUUCCCAUGUGUAGCAGAUGAAAUGCGUACACGAUAUGGCAGGAACACCAGUGGCGAAGGCGACUUUCUGGUCUGUAACUGACACUGAGGCGCGAAAGCGUGGGGAGCAAACAGGAUUAGAUACCCUGGUAGUCCACGCCGUAAACGAUGACUGCUAACUGUUAGAGGGUUUCCGCCCUUUAUGGCUGAACUUAACGCAUUAAUCACUCCGCCGGGGGAGUACGGCGGCAGGGCUGAAACUCAAAGGAUUUGACGGGGGCCCGCACAACCGGGGGACCAUGGGGUUUAUUUCAAACCACCGCGAAAAACCUUACCGGGUCUUGACAUCCUCUGACCACCCUAAAAAUAGGGCUUCCCCUUCGGAAGCAAAGUGACAGGUGCUUGCAUGGUUGUCGUCAGCUCGUGUCGUGAGAUGUUGGGUUAAGUCCCGCAACGAGCGGCACCCCUUGUAUCUUAGUUUGCAACAACUAAGUUGGGCACUCUAAGGUGACUGCCGGUGACAAACCGGAGGGAAGGUGGGGGAUGACGUCAAAUCAUCAUGCCCCUUAUGAGCCUGGGCCUACA
rnacentral:rRNA from 2 species